rnacentral:rRNA from 1 species
AUGGAUUAGCGGCGGACGGGUGAGUAACACGUGAGUAACCUGCCUUUGACACAGGGAUAGCCUCGGGAAACCGGGAUUAAUACCAGAUAACAUUAUCAGAUCGCAUGAGAAGAUAAUCAAAGCUGAGGCGGUCAAAGAUGGACUCGCGUCCCAUUAGCUAGUUGGUAGAGUAAUAGCCUACCAAGGCAACGAUGGGUAGCCGGCCUGAGAGGGUGAACGGCCACAUUGGAACUGAGAAACGGUCCAAACUCCUACGGGAGGCAGCAGUGGGGAAUAUUGCACAAUGGGGGAAACCCUGAUGCAGCGACGCCGCGUGAGCGAAGAAGGUUUUCGAAUCGUAAAGCUCUGUCCUAUGGGAAGAUAAUGACGGUACCAUAGGAGGAAGCCCCGGCCAACUACGUGCCAGCAGCCGCGGUAAUACGUAGGGGGCAAGCGUUGUCCGGAAUCACUGGGCGUAAAGGGUUCGCAGGCGGAAAUGCAAGUCAGUUGUGAAAGGCAGAGGCUCAACCUCUGUAAGCAAUUGAAACUGUAUUUCUUGAGAUGUGGAGAGGCAAGUGGAAUUCCUAGUGUAGCGGUGAAAUGCGUAGAUAUUAGGAAGAAU